AUGGGGUCAUGCAAGAGAUUCUUUUGGAAGAAAAAAAUAUAUUAUGUUAGCUUUAUUGAUGACUUUAGCAAGUUCACUUGGAUAUAUUUGCUUAAGUUUAAAUCUGAAGUUCUUUCCAUCUUCCAAGAAUUUCAGAAACUUGUUGAGCGUCAAUUCAACAGAAAGAUUAUUGCAGUUCAAAGUGACCGGGGAGGAGAGUAUGAGAAACUCAACUCUUUCUUUCGUGACAUUGGUAUUAGUCAUCAUGUCUCUUGCCCUCAUGCUCAUCAGCAGAAUGGCUCCGCCGAGCGUAAACAUCGCCACAUUGUCGAAGUAGGUCUAUUCCUUCUAGCUCAUGCAUCCAUGCCCUUAAAAUAUUGGGACGAAGCCUUUAUUGCUGCCACUUAUCUUAUAAAUCGUCUUCCCAACGAAGUAAUUGGUCAUAUCACUCCUUUGGAAAAAUUGUUUCAUCAAAAACCAGACUAUAACUCCUUGAGAAUUUUCGGGUGUGCUUGCUACCCUAAUCUUCGUCCAUAUAAUCAUCACAAACUUGAGUUUCGUUCGACUCAAUGUGUGUUUCUCGGUUAUAGUAACCUUCACAAAGGAUACAAGUGUCUUGAAAUCUCUACUGGACGAAUCUAUAUUUCUCGUGAUGUUAUAUUUGAUGAAACAAUAUUCCCUUUUGAAAAACUUCAUCCAAAUGCCGGAUCUCUUCUUCGUGCAGAAAUUGCACUUCUUCCGGAAUAUGUAUCUAGUCCAGAUCACGGGGGUGAGUUAAAUAGUGCUGAUCAUGUGACUAAUCCUAAAGAAAAUAUGGUUUUUGAUGGUAAAAGUGCAGCUUCAGGACGUGAUUUUAUGCAAAGAGAUGCAGCCAAAACUGUCACGGGAUCCCAGGAAGAUUUGAGCGGCAGCAGAACAGGAUCCGAGGAAAAUCCCCGCGUCAGGCUUGGCACGCGAUCCUAG
rnacentral:rRNA from 1 species